UCAACCAGGAGUGGGUUAUAUUCGGAUGCUAGGAGUGACCAGAAUACUUAACCAGAAGUGGGUUAAACUUGUUGUAAUCUUUAAAAGAUUAAUUAAAUCUCUUAAGAGUUUUUAAGAAAAAACUGAAUGUAGUUCAAGUUUGAGUGAACCGGUAUACACAUUGUGCCUUAAUGAUUUCUUCUUUUAAAUUAUUCUUACGC
rnacentral:lncRNA from 1 species